UUAAAUCAAGUCGUAAGUCAUUUUAUGUGAACAUUACUAGUACAUGUAAAAUGUGGGGUGUCACACUUUGAAAAGAGAGUCAAAGAGUGAUUGAAAUUAUUGGAAGGAAAGUGUAUGGGCCGGCGAUGCACCCCGGUCGGAUGUGGAAUGGAGACGAGCCGUUCCACCGAUCGACUUAGGGCAUGGACCAACGUGGAUUGGGGGGCGUCCAAAGCCUAGGAUCUCGGUAUGCUCAUGGAAUGCCGUCUCCUCGAUUGUGGUAGGUAGCGCGUGCCUUUGGCGUGCUUCGGUAUCUGUGAGCUAUGGACGCUUGCCUGUAGGCUCCUUAUUCGACCCGUCUUGAAAAACAGACGAAGGAGUCUGACAUGUGUGCAGGUCACGGGCGAGUUAACCCAUAAGGCAUAAGGAAGCUGAUUGGUAGUAUCCCCCCAAGGGUUGCACCACUGACCGACCUUUAUCUUCUGAGAAGGGUUCGAGUGUGAGUAUACCUGUUGGGACCCGAAAAAUGGUGAACUAUGCCUGAGCGGGGCGAAGCCAGAGGAAACUCUAGUGGAGGCCUGCAACGAUAUUAACAUACAAAUCAUCCCUCUGACUUGGGUGUAGGUCCCACAGCUACUUUGUUGAGCUGUGCUUCAGAAUCAAGAGCUCCAAGUGGGCCAUUUUUGGUAAGCAGAACUGCCGAUGCAGGAUAAACCGAAAGCCAGGUUACUGUACCAAACUGCGCACAAACCUAGAUCCCACAAAGGGUUUUGGUUGAUUAAGACAGCAGGACGGUGGUCAUGGAAGUCAAAAUCCACUAAGAAGUGUGUAACAACUCACCUGCAGAAUAAACUAGCCCUGAAAAUGGAUGGCGCUUAAGCGUACGACCUACACUCGGUCGUCGGGGAAAGUUUCGGGCUCGAUGAGUAGGAGGCCAUUGGUGCAGAUAUUUAUGGUAGUAGCAAAUAUUCAAAUGAGAACUUUGAAGGCCGAAGAGGGGAAUGGGUCCAUGUGAACGACACUUGCACAUGGGUUAGUCGAUCCUAAGGGUCGGGGAAACCCUGACAGAUAGCGUAUUUUACGCGUACUCUGAAAGGGAAUUGGGUUAAAAUUCUUAGACCAAGAUGUAGAGGUCAACAACAAUUUUAGGAAGUCUGGAGACAUCAUCGGGAGCCUCAGGAAGAGUUAUCUUUUCUGUUUAACAGCUUGCCCACCCUGGAAUCGGCUCAGCCAGAGGUAGGGUGCAGCGGCUGGAAUAGCACCGCACAUUACGUGGUGUCCGGUGCACUUCGGGCGGCCCUUGAAAACCCAAAGGACCGAAUGCCGUCAACACCUGGUCGUACUCAUAACCACAUCAGGUCUCCAAGGGGAACAACCUCUAGUCGAUGGAACAAUGUAGGCAAUGGAAGUCGGCAAAAUGGAUCCGUAACUUCUGGAGAAGGAUGGUACUGAGGGCGGGGCACGGGGAUCCCAGUCCCAAACUCAUCAGCUAUCGGUGGACUACUCGAAAUGCUCCUGUAAUGAGAGUGGGUCACCGCAUGCCGGCUGGGGGACAGACUGGGAAUGGUUCCUUUAGGGGCCUUUCCCGCUCGUCGAACAGAUAACUCAGAACUAGUAUAGAAAAGGGAAAUCCAACUCUCUUAAGCUAUCCAAAUGCCUCGUCAUCUAAUUAGUGACGCACAUGAAUAGAUUAAUGAGAUUCUCAUUAUCCCUGUCUACUAUCCAGCGAAACCACAGCCAAGGGAACGGGCUUGGCAGAAUCAACGAGAGAAAAAGACCCUCUUGAGCUUGACUCUACUCCGACUUUGUGAAAUGACUUUAGAGGUCUAGUAUAAGUGGGAGCCGAAAGGAGAAAGUGAAAUACCACUACUUUUAACAUUAUUUUACUUAUUUCGUGAAUUGAAAGCAGCGCACUGCCCCUCUUUUUGGACCCAAGGCUCGCUCUGCGGGCCGAUACAAACGGAUAACAUUGUCAGGUAGGGAGUUUCGCUGGGGCGACACAUCUGUUAAAAGAUAACGUAGGUGUCCUAAGAUGAGCUCAACGAGAAUAGAAAUAUCAUGUGGAACAGAAGGGUAAAAGCUUUUUUGAUUCUGAUUUCUAGUACGAAUACGAACCAUUAAAGCGUGGCCUAACGAUUCUUUCGACCUUCAGAAUUCAAAGCUAGAGGUGUCAGAAAAGUUUUACCACAGGGAUAGCUGGCCUGUUGCAGCCAAGCGUUCAUAGCCAUAUUGCAUUUUCAUCCUUCGAUGUCGGCUCUUCCUAUCAUUGAGAAGCAGAAUUUACCAAGUGUUGGACUGUCCACCCACCAAUAGGGUACGUGAGCUGGGCUUAGACCAUUAUGAGAUAGGUUAGUUUUACCCUACUUAAAAUAGUUUCGCAGUAGUAAUUCAACCUAGUAAGAAAGGAAAUAUUGAUCCACAUAAUUUGCCAUCGCACUUGGUUGAAAAGCCAGUGGCACAAAGCUACUGUGUGCUAGAUUAUGACUGGACACCUCUAAGUCAGAAUCUGGGCUGGAUUAUCAAGUUUUAUCGAACAUCUAUCUGCCCCGUACGAUGCUCCUUGCAAAUCUAGAGGACUGAAUGCCGUCCACUCCCGAUCGUACUCAUAACCACAUCA
rnacentral:rRNA from 1 species